rnacentral:pre_miRNA from 14 species
AUUACCUAGGGAUCUUGGUAGCAGAAUGUGAUUUGGGGGGGCCGGGGCCUGAGAUUCUGCAUUUCUAACAAGUACUCAGGUGAUG